UCCAGAGUAGCUCAAUGGUAGAGCACGCGGCUGUUAACCGUGUGGUUGCAGGUUCGAGCCCUGCCUCUGGAGCCA
rnacentral:tRNA from 1 species